CCCCUCUCAGGGUUAUACUUGGAGAGUUUCCAGUACUCUACCAGUCUCGACCUCAGGAGGGAGAGUCAAGCAGAGGUAUAUGCAUUCCAUUCCUAGCGUGGCCAGUGGCUAGCGAAUGGAAGACAAUCUGCUACAAGU